rnacentral:rRNA from 1 species
AACGAUCGCUGGCGGCAUGCCUAACACAUGCAAGUCGAACGAGAUCUUCGGGUCUAGUGGCGCACGGGUGCGUAACGCGUGGGAAUCUGCCCUUUGGUUCGGAAUAACAGUUGGAAACGACUGCUAAUACCGGAUGAUGACGAAAGUCCAAAGAUUUAUCGCCAGAGGAUGAGCCCGCGUAGGAUUAGCUAGUUGGUGUGGUAAAGGCGCUCCAAGGCGACGAUCCUUAGCUGGUCUGAGAGGAUGAUCAGCCAUACUGGGACUGAGACACGGCCCAGACUCCUACGGGAGGCAGCAGUGGGGAAUAUUGGACAAUGGGCGAAAGCCUGAUCCAGCAAUGCCGCGUGAGUGAUGAAGGCCUUAGGGUUGUAAAGCCCUUUUACCCGGGAUGAUAAUGACAGUACCGGGAGAAUAAGCUCCGGCUAACUCCGUGCCAGCCGCCGCUGUAA